UGGGGAAUAUUGCACAAUGGGCGCAAGCCUGAUGCAGCAACGCCGCGUGAGGGACGACGGCCUUCGGGUUGUAAACCUCUUUUAGUAGGGAAGAAGCGAAAGUGACGGUACCUGCAGAAAAAGCACCGGCUAACUACGUGCCAGCAGCCGCGGUAAUACGUAGGGUGCGAGCGUUGUCCGGAAUUAUUGGGCGUAAAGAGCUCGUAGGCGGUCUGUCGCGUCUGCUGUGAAAACCCGAGGCUCAACCUCGGGCCUGCAGUGGGUACGGGCAGACUAGAGUGCGGUAGGGGAGAAUGGAAUUCCUGGUGUAGCGGUGGAAUGCGCAGAUAUCAGGAGGAACACCGAUGGCGAAGGCAGUUCUCUGGGCCGUAACUGACGCUGAGGAGCGAAAGCGUGGGGAGCGAACAGGAUUAGAUACCCUGGUAGUCCACGCCGUAAACGUUGGGCGCUAGAUGUGGGGACCAUUCCACGGUUUCCGUGUCGCAGCUAACGCAUUAAGCGCCCCGCCUGGGGAGUACGGCCGCAAGGCUAAAACUCAAAUGAAUUGACGGGGUCAUAGCUG
rnacentral:rRNA from 1 species